GUUGACCACAGACACAGACUGCGGCGACCAUCUUCCACUACCCAACAUCGCCUCGGCCAGCUGUAGAAACGUAGCACCGCCGCCAGUUCGUCUUGCAGAAUUGAAUCAGACAUUAUUGAUGGACACCCCCGCCGUUGUCGAGGAGUGGACUGCUUAGUCUGACGGUUGGAGUGCAACCAGGUGUGCCGUCCCCUUCUACUUAAGCGAGAUAGAAGUACCAAUCGGUGGGUGUGUAUGUUGGUUCUUAACAUCACUGGAUCAAAUGGCUCCGCUGCGCACUGCUGCCUCAAGUUCGCUGGAAGCAGGUGAGGCAAUCAUAGAGGUGCAUGCUCCAGUAUACCUCCCAGUCAGUGCUUCAAAUCAUCAGACCUUGAUGCCAUCCCUUGUCAUAGAGGAGAUCAAUGCUUAAUCAUCAGACCUUGAUGCCAUCCCUCAUAGAUCUUGAUGCCUUAUUGUAGUUAUUUGUGAGUGAGUUCUCCUGCAUCGCUAAUGUUAAUUGUUGCUUUGUCAGGGUCAGGAAGAGCUAUUUUGUGCACAUGAGUUGCUAUUGGCAGUUGACAGAUUGUCUAUGCAGAGAGCUAAGAGAAAAAAAAUGAGUGGUUCCAUUUUAUGUGACGGGAAUGUUCACAAGGCAUCUUAAAUUUUGGAGAGAAAUAAACCCAUAAAGAAUUCAGAAUUGUGCUUGUUCACAGAUUUCGACAGUACAAAUGGACCCAUAAAGAAUGAUCACAGAUUUCUUUCAGUGAGUAGUAGUAGAUUUGUUCUGCAAAACAAUUAUGUUACAGGUUAACUUGUCUAUAUAUUGCUCCAGAUUUGUGUGUUUUCAAGUGAAUUCAGUACAGAUCAUGGUAGCUACAGGAGGUGAAUGUCCAUGAAGGCAUGAACAGCAUUGCUGCUAGAUACAGGCAUC